rnacentral:tRNA from 17 species
GGGUGCUUAGCUCAGUGGUAGAGCGUCUCCCUUACAAGGAGAGGGUCGGGGGUUCGAAACCCUCAGCACCCACCA